rnacentral:rRNA from 1 species
CGCGUAGGCGGCUCGUGAAGUCGGGUGUGAAAGCCCGGGGCUCAACCCCGGAACGGCAUCCGAUACUGGCGGGCUUGAGACCGGGAGAGGAGGGUGGAAUACCCAGUGUAGAGGUGAAAUUCGUAGAUAUUGGGUGGAACACCGGUGGCGAAAGCGGCUCUCUGGCCCGGAUCUGACGCUGAGGCGCGAAAGCGUGGGGGAGAAAC